CAACCAUCAAGCCCUACGGCUUGCGUUGGGGUCCUGCGGCCGUCCGCAGCCCCCUAAAUGCAGUGGCGGGCUCGCUGUCGCACCGAGCGUAGUAAUACAUCUCUCGCUCUGGUUGUCGGCGGUGGGCGCCUGCCGUAAAACCCCCAAUUUCUCAA
rnacentral:misc_RNA from 1 species